UACGGAGGGGGCAAGCGUUGUUCGGAAUUAUUGGGCGUAAAGCGUAUGUAGGCGGCAAAGUAAGUCAGGCGUGCAAGCCCGUGGCUCAACCACGGAAUUGCGUUUGAAACUACUUAGCUUGAGUACAGGAGAGGAAAGCGGAAUUCCCAGUGUAGCGGUGAAAUGCAUUGAUAUUGGGAAGAACAUCUGUGGCGAAGGCGGCUUUCUGGUCUGUUACUGACGCUGAGAUACGAAAGCCAGGGGAGCAAAGGGG
rnacentral:rRNA from 1 species